GAGACAGGAUUUCUGUGUAUAGUAAACUUGCUCUGUAGAUCAGGCUGGCCUUGAACUCAAAAAUCCUCCUACCUCUGCCUCCCAAGUGCUGGGAUUAAGGAUGCAAACCACCACACCCAGCUAGACAUACCUUUCUGACUUUAUGGCAGUCCCUUGGGUCCCAGUAGGGGCCUUAGCUUUGUAGAUCCCUGUGAGGCCACACAUGUCACCUGACACUUGCAGAGCGCUUCAUGCUCCACAGAGUCCUGCUCACACAGCAGCAGCUUCUGUCAACCGUCGUGCAGGGUUGCUGAUGAGGCUACUUCACUGGAGGUGUGUCCAUGGUCAUAACCAGUGGAUGGCAGACCUGCAUGGUCCCCGGUUAUGUGUGGCUCAGCAAAGGUGUGGCAUGUCCCCAGGGAAGGCCUGAGAUAGGAACACAAGGUUUUGUGCCUGAGAAAGCGGCAGUCUACGGGGUAUUGUCUCCAGACCCCCUCAGUACCCUUGGCCCUAAAGUGGGGUGGGAGGGCUGAUAGAGUGGCACCUAAGCCAGAGAAGAAGGCAGCAUGGGCACCCCUCUUCUGUUUAUGUCACCUGUCACCUUUUGCCGAGAAUCGGAAGCUUCGCCCCUUACUCCUUGCCUCCCUAGCACUAUGUGCCCAUCUCUCCCUCAGGUCCCUGUGCCACAUUUUCUUUGCCACCUGGUGCCAUUUAACAAGAGAAAUGGCAUCACAUUCCCCAGCGAAGACCUGGGAGCCUUCCAGGUGCUGGGGAAGCUUGAGGCUGUCACUAUUGCCAGCUCCCUGCCAAGCUUGGCAGGGACUCUGGAACUAGAGGCACCUCUCUGGGGUUUGGGCUGGCCUGCCCCUGCUGCACAGCAGGGCUGAGUGACACUUAAAUGGCAGUCAGGUGCCCUCAGUCCUUACUGAAGACAGCAGGGAGUGGUUGCUCCUGGCAGUGUGUCUGACUGAGGACAUGAGAACUGGGCUUGGUGCUGAGGUGGAGUAGUCGGGUGACUCAAGGACUGGUUUGAAUGGGGGAGCUAUCAGAUGCCUGCUGCCACCUGAAUCAGGACUAGGAUCCUCUGGGAGAGCUUUCUUUACAUCACAGGUUCAUUUGUCCCUAGGCUACCUGGUAUGGGCAGUUCUUAUAUCCCUCCUGGAGCUCAGUUCUCUGCAGGAGGGUGCUCACCCAAGUGUUGUCCCUGCCUAAGUGGUGGUGGAUGGUCAUUCUUGUAGAGGAAAGGAAGCUUCAGAAUGGCACCAAGGAUACUCCACCCAGCUAGAUGUGGCUCACUUAGCCAGCAAAGGUGGGAGGAACAGUGAUUUUUCAGGCCAGCCUGGGCUCCAGCUUAAGGGAGGGGGGAGCAGAUAAGGUAGUCUGUGGGGUAAAAUUGCAUUUGCUUGACUUCUAUGUAAAGCUAGAAGAGUACACACUGAAACUUGUCCUCUGGUCUCACACACAUUAUACAAUGUUAAUACAUUUUACAAGGGACGGGGAUGUGGUUCAGUUGGUAGAGUAAAGUUCAAUCCAUGGCACCACAUGCAGGCAUAAUGGCUCAAACUAGUAAUCCCAGCACUCAGGGGUGGAAGUUCAAGGUCAUCUUCAGCUACACAGUGCAUUUGAUGCCAGUCUGGGCUACAUGAGACCCUGUCCAAACCAGGGCCAGCAAGGCAAGAUGGUUCAGCUGGUAAGUGUUUGCUGCCAACCCUCAUGACCUAAAUUUCAUCUCCAGUACUCAUCCCUGCAACUUGUCCUUUGACCUCCAUAUGUGUGGCCAUGUCCCCCCAAUGUCAUUUAUAAAAAUAAAAUUAAAGCAAAACAAAACACUUCAACCCCGUAGAACAGAGGCCUGGGCUGCUUGGCCACAGAGGAAGUAGUGAGGUGAGAAGGGACCAGGCCCUGGAGUCUCACCACCAGGCCCUGUGACACAGGUCAGCACGUUAUCCUGCUUUAAGCCCCACUGCUCUGCCUCUUUGGGGUUCUCAUGGCUGAAAACAAAAGCCUGAUCCUGCACCGCCCUCCUCUCUCCUCCGCAGGGUAUGUGUGUACAGGGGAGCCAGCACAUGGCUAUGCUUGCCAGUGUGGAGGUCAGCGUCAGGUGUCUUCCUCUACCAUUCUCCAUAUUAUUUUUGAGUCAGGAUCUCUCACAGAAUCCUAAGUAAAUUUCCUUAAUACUUUAUUUUAUGUGCAUUGGUGUAAGGAUGCCAAAUCCCCUGGAACUGGAGUUACAGACAGGUGUGAGCUGCCGUGUGGGUGCUGGGAUUAGAACCCAGGUCCUCUGGAAGAGCAGCCAGUGCUCUUAACCACUUCACCAUCUCUCCAGCCCCCCCCCCCAAAAAAAAAGUAAAAUUUUAAGACAAAAGCACAUCCCUCAUCCCCUGGUGCCCUCCUUGAGUUUUUUUCUCUCCAGCCCUUCUCAUCCUUCACCUAUAGUUUGGUUCCUUCUUGGAGUUUGGGCUCCUGUUGCUGCUCGCUGCUCUGGUGUGGAGUCAGCACUUACUGGAUGGUAAAAUAGCCCUCCAUGGAAACUGCAGGAGGCCCAGAAACCAGCCACAACUUGUUCUGUGGUGCCUUGAAUGAAGCCAGGAAAUUCCCCGUCCUCAACCUCCUCACAUCCUCACUGUCCCAUGCACAACUGCCCACUGCCUCCCACCCCCACCCCCAGGCAGGACUCCACUCCUGCAGCGAGAGGCUGAAGUUCUGUGGUCUCUUGUCUUGGAGCGAAGGCCCCGUGUCCUCAUACCAAAGCCAUGCAUUAAGAAUGACAGAGCAGGGACCCUGUCAUGACAGUGCACAGGUGCCUGCACAGUGGGUAUGUAGGGAGAGGGGACCCCAAGAGUGAAGCUCUGCCUCAUGGAAGGGCGUGGCCUGCCAUUGCAGGCUCCAUUCUGAGGAGAGAGGACCAGGACCACCCUGACCACUUCUGUCUGGGGCACCUGCUGCUCAGGCCUGCAGUUUCUGCUCAUUCCUCCACCAUUCCUGCCCCUCUUCAGUGAACAGAAAACCUGACAUGGUCCUUCCUUCUGUCCCCACUGAAGGGGACUUUCCAACAGCAUCCUUGUUUCUCAGAACUAGACACAAGGGGGUUGAGGGAGGGGGCAAGGGAGCCUCUAUUUUGAGGACUGGACACUGAAAAACGGAGGUGGGGCUGAGAGGGUAGACAUGAAAUUCCCAAGCCAAUUUAUGGUGCCCGGGAAGGCCCCAGGGCACUCCAUCUUAUGACUCAUGUUUCGAAAGAACAAAAAGCUUUUGCACGUGUGGACCCAAGGCUGUGUGAGAGCAGUCUCCAGAGCAAGUGUACUGAGACUACCCGGCUACCACUUCCAACUCAGAAACUACAGUCUUGAAGGGCUGUUAAUGUGGGUGCCCUGGGCUGGUUACAGCUGAAACUAACAUUCAUGUUUGAGAACAUCCCAGGUCUCAGAGCAGAUUCACAUCCAGAUCUGGGGGGCUGGGCCUCACUGUCCCCAGGGGCUGCCUCCCACCCCCAUCACACGAGGCUUGUCCCAUCGACACAGUGGCCUUACUUCUGACCCUGUCACUGAAGCAUGAAGAACUUGGGCCAUGCUUCACAGUCAGAUGGGUGCCGACCCCGUCUAGACUUUCAUUCCUGCUGGCUCGUCCUCUGAAAGCUCCCCCCCCCC